UUUGGCUAAUUUCUCCCCUCUGGCAUGGUUAUUUUGCUGGCCCGUUGGCCAUUGACCGUGAUUUUCAAAUGGCAACUGUUAUUACUAAAGAAACUUAUCAUAUUUUGUUUUUUAGUGAAGUGGCUUUGGGCUGCAAAAGACACCGGGCGUGUGGAGGCAGCCGUUGGGCCAUACAAAUUGUAUGACUCUUCUUUUCGCACACUGGAGGACAGUGGGUGGCUUUCUGAUGAGGUAAGUGAAGUAAUCAUUUUUGGUCCUAGUGGUGGUCUGUAAAAAUAACCUUCUGUUAAUCCAAACAGGUCAUUGAUGCAUACCUGCACUGCCUCAUUAGGAAACAAAAGGCAAGUAAGAACGUAUGCCGGUUAUUUCACAAAAGCAUUUUAUACAAUUAUGUAAUCUUUUAAAAAAAACUCUUGCAUUUUUCAGAAACCCAUGUAUCAGUUGUCUUGCGUUGUUGCAACCUCUCUGUUUUCUGGGAAGUUUAAAUGUGUCACCAAGGUAAUGUAGAUGUUAUAUAGGUCAUAUAGUGCAUGUUAUGUAAAUGAAUCUAAACCUUUAUAAACUUAAAAAUAUUCCACAGAUGUUGUUUCCGGCUGAGGACAUUUGGUUGUGCCCACUGAACUUCGGUGCACACUGGAUCCUUGUGGUACAUUGUUCUUUUUAGCAGCAUAUUCUUAUUUUGAAAAUGCUUACAACUGAUUAUGUUUACUUAAGUUAGUGUACUACACAUAUUCUACUAAAUACAAUUUUUAUUUUAGGUUGUCAAAAUCUCCACACGAUCUGUACUGCUGUUAGACCCUCUUGGAAAUGAAGGUUGUUAUGAAAGGAAAAUUAUGCGUAACUGGAGGAAUUUUCUGAAGAUGAAAGGAAAGGAAGAGUCCCGAGUGGAUUGGAAAAUGGAGACUGCCACACAACAAGCAGAUGGACUCCAGCAGUUGUGGAGUUUUAGUGUUGAAGUUUGCCGAACACUACCUUAUGAGUGGAGAGGUUACUAGGGUGCUGUCCACUCCAGAAGCCAUUGGGCUGCAACGCACAGAAAUUGCUUGCGAACUGCUAGAACAUCAAAGUAAUGCUGAUGACUACUGUGUGGUUUGUUCCAUGCUGGAAGCCGAUCCUGAGUCCAGUAUGAUUGAAAUGGUAAAACAAAUAAACCACAAAUGCAAUAUACAGUUGCUUGCAACAUUAUUUGGCCCCCUUGAACUUUUCCACAUUUUGUGAUAUUACAGCCACAAACACGAAUCAAUUUUAAUUGUAAUUCCCCGUGAAAGACCAAUACAAAGUGGUGUAUACGUGAGGAGUGGAACGACAGUCGUACAUGAUUCCAAACAAUUUUUACAAAUGAAUAACUGAAAAGUGGGGUGUGCGUAAUUAUUCAGCCCCCUGAGUCAAUACUUUGUAGAACCACCUUUAUCUGCAAUUACAGCUGCCAGACCUUUAGGGUAUGUCUCUACCAGGUAGAGACGUUGUUCUUUCACGUGGAAUUCCAAUAAAAUUGAUUCAUGUUUGUGAAUGCAAUCUGACAAAAUGUGGAAAACUUCAAGGGGGCCGAAUACUUUUGCAAGCCACUGUAGUAAUUAUUUUCUCAUGAAAUUCGUAAUGUUGGUUAACACACUUACACCCCCCCCUACCCCCCCUUCUCCCUCUUCAGGUGCAGUGUGAGUUUUGUCUCAGAUGGGCACAUUUUGGAUGUGCUCAAUAUGAGAGCAGCCUGGUCAAGUACUUGUGCGACAAAUGUGCAUAAUUGUUAUGAAUACCACUUCUUUCUCCCUGUGUUCUGUUGGAUCUGUAAAUAUCAAAUAUAUAUAUAUAUAUAUAUAUAUCUGUAAAUAUAUUCAGUAAAUAUAUACUGUAACUAUAAUGGAGUGAGUUCAUUGUCAAAGUUUAUAUAGUCAGAUGUUCCAAUCACUUCAAUGGUGACAGCUGUAUAACUUAAGCACCUUGGCAUGCAGACUGCUUCUACAAACAAGUGCCAAACCAUGCUACCUUUGUUAUUAUAAACUAGAAGCAUACUCUGACGGGAAGAAUUACGUGCCAAACCAUGCUACCUUUGUUAUUAUAAACUAGAAGCAUACUCUGACGGGAAGAAUUACGUGCCAAAACAUGCUACCUCUGUUAUUAUAAACUAGAAGCUUACUCUGACGGGAAGAAUUACGUGCCAAAACAUGCUACCUCUGUUAUUAUAAACUAGCAUACUCUGACGGGAAGAAUUACGUGCCAAACCAUGCUACCUUUGUUAUUAUAAACUAGAAGCAUACUCUGACGGGAAGAAUUACGUGCCAAACCAUGCUACCUUUGUUAUUAUAAACUAGAAGCAUACUCUGACGGGAAGAAUUACGUGCCAAAACAUGCUACCUCUGUUAUUAUAAACUAGAAGCAUACUCUGACGGGAAGAAUUACGUGCCAAAACAUGCUACCUUUGUUAUUAUAAACUAGCAUACUCUGACGGGAAGAAUUACGUGCCAAACCAUGCUACCUUUGUUAUUAUAAACUAGAAGCAUACUCUGACGGGAAGAAUUACGUGCCAAAACAUGCUACCUCUGUUAUUAUAAACUAGAAGCAUACUCUGACGGGAAGAAUUACGUGCCAAAACAUGCUACCUUUGUUAUUAUAAACUAGAAGCAUACUCUGACGGGAAGAAUUACGUGCCAAAACAUGCUACCUCUGUUAUUAUAAACUAGAAGCUUACUCUGACGGGAAGAAUUACGUGCCAAACCAUGCUACCUUUGUUAUUAUAAACUAGAAGCAUACUCUGACGGGAAGAAUUACGUGCCAAACCAUGCUACCUUUGUUAUUAUAAACUAGAAGCAUACUCUGACGGGAAGAAUUACGUGCCAAAACAUGCUACCUUUGUUAUUAUAAACUAGAAGCAUACUCUGACGGGAAGAAUUACGUGCCAAACCAUGCUACCUUUGUUAUUAUAAACUAGAAGCAUACUCUGACGGGAAGAAUUACGUGCCAAACCAUGCUACCUUUGUGAAUGUGACCUACAAGCACACUUUAAUGGGUAAAAAGAAGUGUCAAACCGUACUGGCUUUAUGAAUAUCAGCUACAAACAUACUCUGAUGGGCAAAGUUAAGUGGCAAACCGUCAUACCUACUUAAAUUUGUACUGGAAUUAUUGUGUGGCAGCAGAAAUGUGCAUAAAUUACGUACAGUAGGACAUUUUGCCAAAGUAGGGCAGUUUGUCAUAAGGCAGCGUAAAAUUAUCCUACUGGUAGGACGGUUUGCCAAAGUAGGACGUUUUGUCAGAGGACACCGUAAAAUUUUCCUACAGGUAGGACGUUUUGUCAGAACACCGGCGUAUGUUUACCAGCCAUUGUCUUCUCAAGUCGGAAUGGGUCGGAAAGCCAUGAAAACUUAGUAUGCCGUUAAAUUUGGCUGAAGCCGAACAAAGUGGGACACAGCAAUGCUCGGAGUAUUUCUUCUCCUGUUUUUGAAAAUGUUCUGUUUUAAAUACUUUCCUUUUUAUACUCAUUCUGAAGUGACAUUAGCGUACCUACCGAUAGAUAAACAAACAUACCGGAAACGCCCAAGCGGUAGUAUUUGGAAACGGAAAUACGUCACAUGCCCUAGUGCAAGUAGUCCAUUUUGCCGCAGACGGCAGAAGCGGAGCGGCCGAAGAGUAAACUGUGAAAAGUAAGUACUGAAUAUUAUGUCACUUAUUUAUGUGCAAAUGUUUAAUAAUGAGGAACAUUAAAACAUUACUGUUGGCCACAUGUCGGCAAAGUUAUGUGCUAUUAGCGAUGUUUGUACUGUCAGCGUUAACUUAGUUUUAAAGCCUCUACUUUAAAAUAUACGCCGUUCAAUAGUUGACCUUAAUCCUACAGAGAAUGUGAUGAUUUUAUGGAUAAUUAAAGUCAGUCAUAUAUCCACAAACACAACAAGCUGAAAGUCAGUGAUGCUGCUCGGUUUGCAGUCCUGAAUAUGACGGCACAAGCAGGAUUCACUGCACUGUUAAUGUUAGCUAUGUUAUAUUGCUGCCUCUGUUCGGUGGUGUGGAGCCAAACGGACUUUAACGUGUGUUUGAACGAGCUGACGGUUCACUCGUUAAGCUGAAAGAAAGAUGCUUUAACCCUUAGAUCAGAGGUUCCCAAAGUGUGGGCCCCGCCCCCUAGACGGGGCGCAGAGGCAUUGCAGGGGGGGGCGCGGUAUGAAAAAAAAAAAAAGAGCGCUUGGACACUGUGGACAGGUUUUUGACGGAGCUCCCACACAAACGCAAAGCAGGAGAUGAAGCAUCGCCAAAUAUGUUUCCAAACCAACUUCCUUCCAAGCCAAAGACUAGAAAACAUGGUGAAGCAUAUCUUCCCUUUGGCUUCACCUGCACAAGUGCCAAGGUAGGUCUCCCCUGCAAAAUUAGUUUCCCUGCGUCGGGAGCAGCGCUGGGCUCUCCAAAUCACGGACAAACAGUAUCCCACAGCUGUGUAUGUGUUUAAACCCAUUUUGCACAGAGAGACAUUUUUUGAAAAAUGUAUUGACAGCAAUGUUGAAUAUUAUUACACAGGAAAAAAAACAACUACACGUAAAAUAAUUACACCGUGACGCCUCUGCCUUUCUAAAUGCAGGGACAGUAACUGCGUGUGUAUAUGUGUAGCAGCGGCCAGUAAUAAACCAGUCGUCAUAAAAGAACAGUGCUCUUUAAUGAAUUCACAAACUUACAUCAAAGAGGUAGCAGUGACACACAUCACUUAUCAGCUAGCCAUCUAACUCUAUUCUAACGCUUAACUUUUACAGACUCUGCUUUACUCUUAUUUUGCGACACCACCCUCUAGUGGUGCAAUAUGAUAUAAACAUUACAGAACACAACAUCUCCUCUCUCUUUAUAAAAAGAGUUCACCAAAUAGCGUAGUACAGAAAUAAAGUAAUUCACUGUUUAGCAAAUCAAACAUACACUGGUGAACUUAAAUGUCGCAAUAGUUAUAACAUCAGAAUACUACAACUAGAAAAGCUAAAUAAGCCUGAAAUUGUAAAAUGAAAAGAAAUUAUUCCAGUUUUUCCAUUACAAUUUUUUCUUAGUGCAUUGGUGGCAGGAAAUCAGUUCGUCUUAAACCCGAAAUAGAACAAGUAAUGACAUUUCUCUAAUGUCCUUUUUCAAGCAACAUAUUAUGGUACAAUAUAGUCUUUGUGCCAGCGAGGUUUGUACUUGACGCAUGGCAGUCUUCUGGCAGUAGGUGAGCCAGCCUGAGUGUGGUGCAACCUAGCAGUGUCAGCGUUCUUUUCAGUCACCGGGCGACAGCGUGCUAGAUGAGUGGCAUUCCAAAUCUUUCCAUCACUCAGCAAGAAGGCAUUCGAGCCUUUGGCUUUUGUUACUGUUACAGGAGGGGUAAAUCUGGGAUGUCCUUUAGGAACAUGGUGGGGUUUCCUUAUCCUCACACUCCCUCCUGGUAGAAAAGAAGGUUUCCGUGCGUGACGCCUACCAUCAGUGUAACGUUGCAUUUUCAACUGAGAUUUCUGAACUGAUGUCCCCGUGGUCCCAGCUCCUACAUUUGUUCCACUUUUAACAGUAAUACACAAAACUCUGGACUCAGACCUCUCUCUCCCACAGUCAACACAAUACCCGUCAUAAUCACAAACAGAGAGCAACACAAUUAUCAUAAAUCCAGUAACUUCAAAAACAUUAAUAACCUCCGGCCUCUUCAAAAAUCUCAGACUUCAUUGAACUCUACUGUCAAAA
rnacentral:lncRNA from 1 species